AACCCUUAUCGUUAGUUGCCAGCUGGUAAAGCAGGGGACUCUAGCGAAACUGCCACCGUAAGGUGAGAGGAAGGUGGGGAUGACGUCAAAUCAGCACGGCCCUUAUGUCCAGGGCUACACACGUGUUACAAUGGCCGGCACAGAGGGCAGCUACCUGGUGACAGGAUGCUAAUCUCGAAAACCGGUCUCAGUUCGGAUCGAAGUCUGCAACUCGACUUCGUGAAGCUGGAUUCGCUAGUAAUCGCGCAUCAGCCAUGGCGCGGUGAAUACGUUCCCGGGCCUU
rnacentral:rRNA from 1 species